CAACUCUGGAAAGUGGACAUCCCGAUGUCCCGCCGACGGUGAAAGCCGCGGCCGUCGUCCGCGGGUCCUCGGCUCGGACCCAUGGCGGCGGCGGCCGGUGAAGCUCUCAGGCCAAUGACAGAGGGGGA
rnacentral:ncRNA from 2 species